CAAUGUGCUUGCUUGAUUUUUUCUUACUAUUUUUAUUUUUGCCUGAUCUAGAACUCUUCUUUCGGGAUCCGCCAAAGCAUGAAGAGAGCACUCCUGGUUUCUUAUGCUUAGGCUUGAUAGGAGGUUCAUAGCCAUACAAUGCUGUUCUAUUGAAUACGCAACCCGUACCCACGUAUACAGGACCUUGGAUGCCAUCCAAUCCUCUUAAAUUUAUAUCAAAGAAAACAGUAUUACGGUUGGCAUAUCGAUCAUUCUUAUCAAUCCCAUCAAAUCUCUGGGGAAACUGGACAUAACAAACUGAUCUUCCAAGAUUAGGAUCCAUUAGAAAACACAUUGCUUCUCUCAAUGCCCUGCUGUUGUUUAUGUAAUGAUCACAAUCAAGAUUUAACAAGAAGGGCCCAUUGGUAAGAACUGCUGAUACACGCACAAGUGCAUUCAUGGCACCAGCCUUUUUGUGAUGCUGAAAACCAGGACGCUUCUCACGAGAUACAUAUACUAGUCGUGGAAGUUCAUUACCCUCACUGUCAAAUCCUCCACUGUGGCCCAAGAAAACCUGGAUCAUUCCUGGAUGAUCUCUGAUGUUAUUUCCGGGCCAAGGUGUACCAUCUUG
rnacentral:misc_RNA from 1 species